UUAGUGAUCCGGUGGUUCCGCAUGGAAGGGCCAUCGCUCAACGGAUAAAAGCUACCCCGGGGAUAACAGGCUUAUCUCCCCCAAGAGUUCACAUCGACGGGGAGGUUUGGCACCUCGAUGUCGGCUCAUCGCAUCCUGGGGCUGUAGUCGGUCCCAAGGGUUGGGCUGUUCGCCCAUUAAAGCGGUACGCGAGCUGGGUUCAGAACGUCGUGAGACAGUUCGGUCCCUAUCCGUCGUGGGCGUAGGAAAUUUGAGAGGAGCUGUCCUUAGUACGAGAGGACCGGGAUGGACAUACCUCUGGUGUACCAGUUGUCGUGCCAACGGCAUAGCUGGGUAGCUAUGUAUGGACGGGAUAAGUGCUGAAAGCAUCUAAGCAUGAAGCCCCCCUCAAGAUGAGAUUUCCCAACUUCGGUUAUAAGAUCCCUCGAAGAUGACGAGGUUAAUAGGUUCGAGGUGGAAGCGUGGUGACACGUGGAGCUGACGAAUACUAAUCGAUCGAAGACUUAAUCAAUUU
rnacentral:rRNA from 1 species